CCAGAACCACUUCUCCACCCUCUAACUCUAGGUCAGGACCAGAACUACUUCUCCACCGUCUAACUGUAGGUCAGGACCAGAACCACUUCUCCACCCUCUAACUCUAGGUCAGGACCAGAACCACUUCUCCACCCUCUAACUCUAGGUCAGGACCAGAACCACUUCUCCACCGUCUAACUCUAGGUCAGGACCAGUAAUACUCUACCAUCUAACUGUAGGUCAGGACCAGAACUACUUCUCCACCCUCUAACUCUAGGUCAGGACCAGAACCACUUCUCCACCCUCUAACUCUAGGUCAGGACCAGAACCACUUCUCCACCGUCUAACUCUAGGUCAGGACCAGAACCACUUCUCCACCCUCUAACUCUAGGUCAGGACCAGAACCACUUCUCCACCGUCUAACUCUAGGUCAGGACCAGAACCACUUCUCCACCGUCUAACUCUAGGUCAGGACCAGAACCACUUCUCCACCGUCUAACUCUAGGUCAGGACCAGAACCACUUCUCCACCGUCUAACUCUAGGUCAGGACCAGAACCACUUCUCCACCCUCUAAUGCUAGGUCAGAACCAGAACCACUUCUCCACCGUCUAACUCUAGGUCAGGACCAGAACCACUUCUCCACCCUCUAAUGCUAGGUCAGGACCAGAACCACUUCUCCACCGUCUAACUCUAGGUCAGAACCAGAACCACUUCUCCACCGUGUAACUCUAAGCAUUUAGGUGCUGGUGUUAAGAGUCAGAUAUACCCCAGUUCAAAUAUGUCUCUGAUUCUAGAUGAGCAACCUCAGGCAAAUUUAUCACUAAGUCUUCUCAGUCCCAGGUUUCUCAUCUGUAAGAUGUAAGAUUAGCCAACAGGUAUAAAGUUCUUGGCAAACCUUAAAGCUCCCUACAUAGGCUUUUGUUGUUGCGCAAUCAUUUUCAGUCCUAUCUGACUCAGAGACCCCUGUGAGAUUUUGUUGGCAAAGACACUGAAGGGAUUUGACAUUUCCUUCUCCAGCUCGUUUGUAGAGAUGAGGAAACUGAGGCAGACUUAAGUGUCAGAGGUCAGAUUUGAACUGCCUCCAGGCCCAGCCCUCCCUAUGUGCUAGCUAGGAUUACCCACUCUCCCUGGGGCGUGCGACCCCCUUGCUCUAGACUCAGAAGAUGAGCUGAUCCUUCCAAGGCCCAGAAGAAAGAGUGGGA